rnacentral:rRNA from 1 species
AUUGAACGCUGGCGGCAGGCCUAACACAUGCGAGUCUAACGGUAACAGAAAGCAGCUUGCUGCUUUGCUGACGAGUGGCGGACGGGUGAGUAAUGUCUGGGAAACUGCCUGAUGGAGGGGGAUAACUACUGGAAACGGUAGCUAAUACCGCAUAACGUCGCAAGACCAAAGAGGGGGACCUUCGGGCCUCUUGCCAUCGGAUGUGCCCAGAUGGGAUUAGCUAGUAGGUGGGGUAAAGGCUCACCUAGGCGACGAUCCCUAGCUGGUCUGAGAGGAUGACCAGCCACACUGGAACUGAGACACGGUCCAGACUCCUACGGGAGGCAGCAGUGGGGAAUAUUGCACAAUGGGCGCAAGCCUGAUGCAGCCAUGCCGCGUGUAUGAAGAAGGCCUUCGGGUUGUAAAGUACUUUCAGCGGGGAGGAAGGGAGUAAAGUUAAUACCUUUGCUCAUUGACGUUACCCGCAGAAGAAGCACCGGCUAACUCCGUG